AGUGAACGCUGGCGGUAGGCCUAACACAUGCAAGUCGAACGGCAGCACAGUAAGAGCUUGCUCUUACGGGUGGCGAGUGGCGGACGGGUGAGGAAUACAUCGGAAUCUACUUUUUCGUGGGGGAUAACGUAGGGAAACUUACGCUAAUACCGCAUACGACCUACGGGUGAAAGCAGGAGAUCUUCGGACCUUGCGCGAUUGAAUGAGCCGAUGUCGGAUUAGCUAGUUGGCGGGGUAAAGGCCCACCAAGGCGACGAUCCGUAGCUGGUCUGAGAGGAUGAUCGGCCACACUGGAACUGUGACACGGUCCAGACUCCUACGGGAGGCAGCAGUGGGGAAUAUUGGACAAUGGGCGCAAGCCUGAUCCAGCCAUACCGCGUGGGUGAAGAAGGCCUUCGGGUUGUAAAGCCCUUUUGUUGGGAAAGAAAAGCAGUAGGUGAAUACCCCGCUGUUCUGACGGUACCCAAAGAAUAAGCACCGGCUAACUUCGUG
rnacentral:rRNA from 1 species